rnacentral:rRNA from 1 species
GGGGAAGGGCAGCUUGCUACCUGACCGAGCGGCGGCCGGGUGAGUAAUGCUUAGGAAUCCGCCUAUCAGUGGGGGACAACAUUCCGAAAGGAACGCUAAUACCGCAUACGCCCUGCGGGGGAAAGCAGGGGAUCUCCGGACCUUGCGCUAACAGAUGAGCCUAAGUCAGAUCAGCUAGUGGGGGGGGUAAAGGCCUACCAAGGCGACGAUCUGUAGCGGGUCCGAGAGGAUGAUCCGCCACACUGGGACUGAGACACGGCCCAGACUCCUACGGCAGGCAGCAGAGGGGAAUAUCAGGACAAUGGGCGAAAGCCCUGAUCCAGCCACGCACGCGUGCGAGAAGAAGGCCCCACGGAUCGAAAAGCACUUUUAAGCCAGGAGGACGCCUACCGAGAAUGAAAAACCCCUAGGAGAGGGGACGGUACCCCGGCACGAACAAAGCACCGGGCUAACCUCUGGUGCCACGCACGCCCGGGGCAAAACCACGACGGGCCGCCAAC